AGCUCUACAAGUGUAACAAGCUCUACAAUUGUAAUACUAACAAGCUCUACAAGUUCUUAGAUUCAGACUCCUAACAAGCUCUAUUAGAUGAACAACAUGCCGGACUCGCUCGACGACCAUAGUCAGGGCUGGGAACAAACAAAACAACAACAUGGCUUCCACUGUCAUCCUGUUACAUGAAUCAGGGAAGAAUUAGAAUAACUGGGGGAAAUAUAUGUCGUAGCUAACAAAGUAAGAAACAGUAGUUAACAAGUCUGAGUCAUAGAAGCUAGAAGUGUCCCUUCUGAGAGACAAGAACUUAGAAUUGAUGCAUGGAUCUUAUUCUAAACAGCAUAAACACCAUGGUAAUAACAAAUUAACAGUAACAAGAUCAGUGUUAGCAGAAUUAAGUACAAGGCAAUCACGGGUACCAAUCCAAUGCAAGUUAAUAGAGAAAAUAUGUCAAAGUUACUCAGAUUUACUAAUGUGUUUUUCAUACUACCAAAUUGAAGGUAAAAGAUGUGUACUGAUUCAACACUGCAAACUGAUUUCUGAAAGCUUUACCAAAACAUUGUUUAGUCGCUUGGUGCUAAAGCGAUAGAUGUUGAACACUAACUGCCAACAAUAGUAACAACCAGCAGGUAUUAACCAGCAGGUACUGCACCUGCGACCGCCAUCACUAGCUUGGAAGCAAUAAGCACAGCAUAGGUAGGAUAGGAAUCAUCCAGGAUGUGUGUUCAUGAAUCACCUAAUAGGUGCCGUGCCGCAUAAUUGAUUUCCUGAACUCAGUAUGCUACACUUGUCUAUCCCAAAUCAGGGCUCAUGAAUCCUCAUCAAACUGUGAAAUUUUACCUGAAGUAGGGCAGUGGCCACGUCGAAAACCACGUACAGGUCAAUGGUCUGCGGGGCAUGAGAAGCACAUCAGGAACCCGGCAGUCGCAAGUGGUAGACAAAAAAAAUACUGCUAGGGAAUCUGUACACGAAUGAGGCAUAGAGCAGCAAAAUAAGAUAUAUAUUCAUGAUCUUCACAGCAUGAAUCCAAAUCCUACGGCUGAUAGUGGCCCUUUUUAUACUACAAAAGACCAUCGUCACCAUUCAAGAAUCACAACAGCACACUAAGAACAAUGACAGGCUCCGCAAGCCUGUGACCUACUGUACACGGCAAUAGGAGCAAAAAUCUAAUAAAUUCAUUACAGGCUUGCCAAUAAAAAUAACAAGUUACCUACACACAAGGAAACAUAAACUUGAGAGGUUGAGAUCAAGGCCUAUCAACUACAUCAUAUAUAUAUGGAUCAAAAAACAAGGCCAUAUGGACCAAUGCAUCAUAAUUAUCAGUUUUAAACACUACAGGAUCAGACCGACUGACCGAGCAUGAUGAAUCAAUAGGUGUGAAAUGCAUUGACACUUUGCUCUGUCUUAAAAUUGACAGCUAUAUUAAUUUAUAUUUAUACUCAUUAGAGAUAGUCAUAAUAUUGGGACGUCGACACUCAUCAAGAUAACUCUAAAAGAGUUUGACAAGAUAUGCAACCCAGAAUGUUUCAGGACUCUACACAGAAUAUAACUACAAAAACUGCAGCAGUAAUACAGAUGCAGAGCAGCAAUACAGACCCAGGAGAUAUCUUGUGAUAGCAGGCAUCCCAUAAGCCGCAGAAAUGGCCAGAGCAGUGUCACCUGCAAUAAGUAAAAC
rnacentral:lncRNA from 1 species